AACGAACGCUGGCGGCAUGCCUAACACAUGCAAGUCGAACGAGACCUUCGGGUCUAGUGGCGCACGGGUGCGUAACGCGUGGGAACCUGCCCUUAGGUUCGGAAUAACUCCCCGGAAGGGGUGCUAAUACCGGAUAAUGACUUCGGACCAAAGAUUUAUCGCCUUUGGGUGGGCCCGCGUUGGAUUGGCUAGUUGGUAGGGUAAAAGCAUACCAAGGCUACGAUGCAUAGCUGGUCUGAGAGGAUGAUCAGCCACGCUGGGACUGAGACACGGCCCAGACUCGGACGGGAGGGAGCAGUAGGGAAUAUUGGACAAGGGGCGAAAGCCUGAUCAAGCAAUGCCGGGUGAGUGAUGAAGGCCUUAGGGUUGUAAAGCUCUUUUACCCGGGAUGAUAAUGACAGUACCGGGAGAAUAAGCUCCGGCUAACUCCGUG
rnacentral:rRNA from 1 species